CCCGCGAGGGUAAGCGGAUCUCUUAAAGCUGUUCUCAGUUCGGACUGCAGGCUGCAACUCGCCUGCACGAAGCUGGAAUCGCUAGUAAUCGCGGAUCAGCACGCCGCGGUGAAUACGUUCCCGGGCCUUGUACACACCGCCCGUCACACCAUGGAAGUCUGCAAUGCCCAAAGUCGGUGGGAUAACCUUUAUAGGAGUCAGCCGCCUAAGGCAGGGCAGAUGACUGGGGUGAAGUCGUAACAAGGUAGCCGUAGGAGAACCUGCGGCUGGAUCACCUCCUUUCUAAGGAA
rnacentral:rRNA from 1 species